UCGUACGAUGAUACACCAGCAUAUGCUGGGGGAUUAGUGGCGAACGGGUGAGUAACACGUGAGUAACCUGCCCUUGACUCUGGGAUAAGCCUGGGAAACUGGGUCUAAUACCGGAUAUGACUCCUCAUCGCAUGGUGGGGGGUGGAAAGCUUUUGUGGUUUUGGAUGGACUCGCGGCCUAUCAGCUUGUUGGUGGGGUAAUGGCCUACCAAGGCGACGACGGGUAGCCGGCCUGAGAGGGUGACCGGCCACACUGGGACUGAGACACGGCCCAGACUCCUACGGGAGGCAGCAGUGGGGAAUAUUGCACAAUGGGCGCAAGCCUGAUGCAGCGACGCCGCGUGAGGGAUGACGGCCUUCGGGUUGUAAACCUCUUUCAGUAGGGAAGAAGCGUAAGUGACGGUACCUGCAGAAGAAGCGCCGGCUAACUACGUGCCAGCAGCCGCGGUAAUACGUAGGGCGCAAGCGUUAUCCGGAAUUAUUGGGCGUAAAGAGCUCGUAGGCGGUUUGUCGCGUCUGCUGUGAAAGACCGGGGCUCAACUCCGGUUCUGCAGUGGGUACGGGCAGACUAGAGUGCAGUAGGGGAGACUGGAAUUCCUGGUGUAGCGGUGAAAUGCGCAGAUAUCAGGAGGAACACCGAUGGCGAAGGCAGGUCUCUGGGCUGUAACUGACGCUGAGGAGCGAAAGCAUGGGGAGCGAACAGGAUUAGAUACCCUGGUAGUCCAUGCCGUAAACGUUGGGCACUAGGUGUGGGGGACAUUCCACGUUUUCCGCGCCGUAGCUAACGCAUUAAGUGCCCCGCCUGGGGAGUACGGCCGCAAGGCUAAAACUCAAAGGAAUUGACGGGGGCCCGCACAAGCGGCGGAGCAUGCGGAUUAAUUCGAUGCAACGCGAAGAACCUUACCAAGGCUUGACAUGAACCGGAAGACUUGGAAACAGGUGCCCCGCUUGCGUCGGUUUACAGGUGGUGCAUGGUUGUCGUCAGCUCGUGUCGUGAGAUGUUGGGUUAAGUCCCGCAACGAGCGCAACCCUCGUUCUAUGUUGCCAGCGGUUCGGCCGGGGACUCAUAGGAGACUGCCGGGGUCAACUCGGAGGAAGGUGGGGACGACGUCAAAUCAUCAUGCCCCUUAUGUCUUGGGCUUCACGCAUGCUACAAUGGCCGGUACAAAGGGUUGCGAUACUGUGAGGUGGAGCUAAUCCCAAAAAGCCGGUCUCAGUUCGGAUUGGGGUCUGCAACUCGACCCCAUGAAGUCGGAGUCGCUAGUAAUCGCAGAUCAGCAACGCUGCGGUGAAUACGUUCCCGGGCCUUGUACACACCGCCCGUCAAGUCACGAAAGUUGGUAACACCCGAAGCC
rnacentral:rRNA from 1 species